rnacentral:rRNA from 1 species
UACGUAGGGGGCAAGCGUUGUCCGGAUUUAUUGGGCGUAAAGAGCGUGUAGGCGGCUAGGUAGGUCCGUUGUGAAAACUCGAGGCUUAACCUCGAGAUGUCAUCGGAAACUAUUCGGCUAGAGUCCGGAAGAGGAGAGUGGAAUUCCUGGUGUAGCGGUGAAAUGCGCAGAUAUCAGGAAGAACACCUAUGGCGAAAGCAGCUCUCUGGGACGGUACUGACGCUGAGACGCGAAAGCGUGGGGAGCGAACAGG